AGAGCCCAACCUCCCACCGUGUUUACUGUACCUUAGUUGCUUCGGCGGGCCCGCCAUUCAUGGCCGCCGGGGGCUCUCAGCCCCGGGCCCGCGCCCGCCGGAGACACCACGAACUCUGUCUGAUCUAGUGAAGUCUGAGUUGAUUGUAUCGCAAUCAGUUAAAACUUUCAACAAUGGAUCUCUUGGUUCCGGCAUCGAUGAAGAACGCAGCGAAAUGCGAUAACUAGUGUGAAUUGCAGAAUUCCGUGAAUCAUCUAGUCUUUGAACGCACAUUGCGCCCCCUGGUAUUCCGGGGGGCAUGCCUGUCCGAGCGUCAUUGCUGCCCAUCAAGCACGGCUUGUGUGUUGGGUCGUCGUCCCCUCUCCGGGGGGGACGGGCCCCAAAGGCAGCGGCGGCACCGCGUCCGAUCCUCGAGCGUAUGGGGCUUUGUCACCCGCUCUGUAGGCCCGGCCGGCGCUUGCCGAACGCAAAUCAAUCUUUUUCCAGGUUGACCUCGGAUCAGGUAGGGAUACCCGCUGAACUUAAGCAUAUCUAUAAGGCUGGAG
rnacentral:rRNA from 1 species